CCGUGGGAUAAAAUCCGUCGAAAAUAUCCGUCUGUAAUAACUAUUUUUCUAGUAGUGUCAAACCCAUCUUCAUGCUGAUGAGUAUGAGCAAGUGCCCAGCUUCUCUAUUUUCUCUCACACCCAAACAAGCCCUAUUUUCAACCACAUAAUGGAGCCUAAGUUAUUCCCUACCAACUACAACAAUAAUAUUGCAACUUUAUAUGGUCGAGGAGGAACUACUACAACACCCAAUUGGUUUCUUGCUUAGACCCUUUUUCAUGUGAUAGGAAAGUAUUGAAAGCUGUUUUCAGUCAGCUCACAAAUAUGGAAAGAAACAUACCUGAUAAUAAUAACGACAAUACAAAUAGUAUAAAAGGGUCACCAAGUUUAGGAGAAGGUAGUUCUGAGAGUUGCUUAUCUGAGAUUGGCAUGCCCAACUUUAUUAUUGAUGUGGUAGUCCCUGUAGGCUUUGUAAUUUGUUUAUAUAGUUUUUCCCAAAAUUAAUUUAUCCAUGUUCUUCAUAUAUGCCACAAGGAAGUGGAGAAAAUACGAAGAAUCAAUAGAAUUUUGGAGGAAGGGAAAAUUCUCAUUGGAAUUUUAAGUCAUUGUAGUGGGUAUCUAGGUUUCACCCAUUGUGUGCAUGUCCCAAUAUAUUAGGAAAACAGGACUUGUAAUUGAAACU